UACCUUCUUCAUGAUCACUGGGUUGUUUGCCUAUACUAAAGACGUUCAGUUUCAAGGUCAUAUUGCCAAAAGAAAGCUUCAUGACACCAUUCCUACAAUUGAUCAAUGCAUUAGAAGUUGCAAGGAAUGGACGUCCUAAGAUGACCGGAAUCUGAGAUGGUGAAUUGGAAGCCGGAUGUGUGUCCAGUACGAUAAAGUCAACAGAAAAAUAGAACUUGUCUACUUGGACCAACACAUCUUCGAUAAUCCCUCUAGGGACCUUCACUGACCUGUCAGCUA
rnacentral:lncRNA from 1 species